rnacentral:rRNA from 1 species
ACGGGUGAGUAAUACAUCGGAACGUGCCCAAGAGUGGGGGAUAACGGAGCGAAAGCUUUGCUAAUACCGCAUACGAUCUACGGAUGAAAGCAGGGGACCGCAAGGCCUUGCGCUCAUGGAGCGGCCGAUGGCAGAUUAGGUAGUUGGUGGGAUAAAAGCUUACCAAGCCGACGAUCUGUAGCUGGUCUGAGAGGACGACCAGCCACACUGGGACUGAGACACGGCCCAGACUCCUACGGGAGGCAGCAGUGGGGAAUUUUGGACAAUGGGCGCAAGCCUGAUCCAGCCAUGCCGCGUGCAGGAUGAAGGCCUUCGGGUUGUAAACUGCUUUUGUACGGAACGAAAAGCCUCUUUCUAAUAAAGAGGGGUCAUGACGGUACCGUAAGAAUAAGCACCGGCUAACUACGUGCCAGCAGCCGCGGUAAUACGUAGGGUGCGAGCGUUAAUCGGAAUUACUGGGCGUAAAGCGUGCGCAGGCGGUAAUGUAAGACAGAUGUGAAAUCCCCGGGCUCAACCUGGAAACUGCAUUUGUGACUGCAUUGCUGGAGUGCGGCAGAGGGGGAUGGAAUUCCGCGUGUAGCAGUG